rnacentral:rRNA from 1 species
AUACGGAGGACGCGAGCGUUAUCCGGAUUCAUUGGGUUUAAAGGGUGCGCAGGCGGCCGUGCAAGUCAGCGGUGAAAGCCCGGGGCCCAACCCCGGAAGUGCCGUUGAUACUGCAUGGCUUGAAUGCGGUCGAGGCGGGCGGGACGGGGCGGGUAGCGGUGAAAUGAGUAGAUAUGCCACAGAACGCCGAUAGCGGAGGCAGCUCGCCAGGCCUGCAUUGACGCUCGGGCACGAAAGCGUGGGGAUCGAACAGGAUUAGAUACCCUGGUAGUCCACGCCGUAAACGAUGGGCGCUCGUCGUCGGCGGCAGACAGUCGGCGGCCAAGCGAAAGCGAUAAGCGCCCCACCUGGGGAGUACGGUCGCAAGGCUGAAACUCAAAUGAAUUGACGGGG